UACAGAGGUCUCAAGCGUUGUUCGGAUUCAUUGGGCGUAAAGGGUGCGUAGGUGGCGGGGCAAGUCAGGUGUGAAAUCUCGGGGCUCAACCCCGAAACUGCACUUGAUACUGCCUUGCUCGAGUACUGGAGAGGAGACUGGAAUUUACGGUGUAGCAGUGAAAUGCGUAGAUAUCGUAAGGAAGACCAGUGGCGAAGGCGGGUCUCUGGACAGUUCCUGACGCUGAGGCACGAAGGCCAGGGGAGCAAACGGG
rnacentral:rRNA from 1 species